rnacentral:rRNA from 1 species
AUUGAACGCUGGCGGCAGGCCUAACACAUGCAAGUCGAACGGUAACAGGAAGCAGGUUGCUGCUUUGCUGACGAGUGGCGGAGGGGUGUGUGAUGUCUGGGAAACUGUCCGAUGGAGGGGGGUAACUAGUGGAAACGGUAGCUAAUACCGCAUAACGUCCCUAGGGCAAAGAGGGGGGGCUCAUGGCCCCUUGCCAGCGGGAAUGCCCAGAUGGGAUUAGCUAGUAGGGGGGGUAACGGCCCACCUAGGGGACGAUCCGUAGCUGGUCUGAGAGGAUGACCAGCCACACUGGAACUGAGACACGGUCCAGACUCCUACGGGAGGCAGCAGUGGGGAAUAUUGCACAAAGGGCGCAAGCCUGAUGCAGCCAUGCCGCGUGUAUGAAGAAGGCCUUCGGGUUGUAAAGUACUUUUAGUGGGGAGGAAGAGAAUAAAGUUAAUACCCUGCCUUAUUGACGUUACCCAAAGAAUAAGCACCGGCUAACUCCGUG